GAACCUGAAACCGUGUACGUACAAGCAGUGGGAGCACCCUUUGGGGUGUGACUGCGUACCUUUUGUAUAAUGGGUCAGCGACUUAUAUUCUGUAGCAAGGUUAACCGUAUAGGGGAGCCGGAGGGAAACCGAGUCUUAAUUGGGCGUUAAGUUGCAGGGUAUAGACCCGAAACCCGGUGAUCUAGCCAUGGGCAGGUUGAAGGUUGGGUAACACUAACUGGAGGACCGAACCGACUAAUGUUGAAAAAUUAGCGGAUGACCUGUGGCUGGGGGUGAAAGGCCAAUCAAACCGGGAGAUAGCUGGUUCUCCCCGAAAGCUAUUUAGGUAGCGCCUCGUGAACUCAUCUCCGGGGGUAGAGCACUGUUUCGGCUAGGGGGCCAUCCCGGCUUACCAACCCGAUGCAAACUGCGAAUACCGGAGAAUGUUAUCACGGGAGACACACGGCGGGUGCUAACGUCCGUCGUGAAGAGGGAAACAACCCAGACCGCCAGCUAAGGUCCCAAAGUCAUGGUUAAGUGGGAAACGAUGUGGGAAGGCCCAGACAGCCAGGAUGUUGGCUUAGAAGCAGCCAUCAUUUAAAGAAAGCGUAAUAGCUCACUGGUCGAGUCGGCCUGCGCGGAAGAUGUAACGGGGCUAAACCAUG
rnacentral:rRNA from 1 species